rnacentral:rRNA from 1 species
UACGGAGGAUCCAAGCGUUAUCCGGAAUCAUUGGGCUUAAAGGGUCCGUAGGCGGCUUUAUAAGUCAGUGGUGAAAUCCGGCAGCUCAACUGUCGAACUGCCAUUGAUACUGUAGGGCUUGAAUUAUUGUGAAGUAACUAGAAUAUGUAGUGUAGCGGUGAAAUGCGUAGAUAUCAAGAGGAACACCUGAGGUGAAGACGGGUUGCUGGGCCAACACUGACGCUGAGGCGCGAAAGCGUGGGGAGCGAACAGG